CCAGCAGGACUUUGGCACCUGCCCACACUGCCAAAAGUACCAAAACCUGGUUCAGUGCCCAUGGGAUUACUGUGCUUGAUUGGCCAGCAAACUUGCCUGACCUGAACCCCAUAGAGAAUCUAUGGGGCAUUGCCAAGAGAAAGAUGAGAGACAUGAGACUGAGCAAUGUAGAAGAGCUGAAGGCUGCUAUUGAAGCUUCCUGGUCUUCCAUAACACCUCAGCAGUGCCAUAGGCUGAUAGCAUCCAUGCCACACUGCAUUGAGGCAGUAAUUGAUGCAAAAGGGGCCCAAACCAAGUACUGAGUACAUAUGCAUGCUUCUAGAAUCAUAGAAUCAUAGAGUUGGAAGAGACCACAAGGGCCAUUCUACUUCUCAGAGGUCCAAUAUUGCUCUUUUUUCAAUCCUUGUUUUGCUGAUUUCAUUUAAGAUUCUAAUUUUCUGAGAUUGUUAAUUUGGGGUUUUCAUCAGCUGUACGCCAUAAACAUCACAAUUAUAACAAAUAAAGACCUGACAUAUCUCGCUUUGCAUAUCAUGAGUCUAUCUCAUAUAUUAGUUUCACCUUUUAAGUUGCAUUACUGAAAUAAAUGAACUUUUCCACAAUAUUCUAAUUUUAUGAGUUUCACCUGUAUGUACACAAGCAGCACUUCUUGUCACCAGAUUGCUGGGGGGGGGCAGGGGCACAGAUGCUGCAGGCCCAUUUGCGGAUCCUGGGGGCAUCCCUGAGGCUCAGAUGGGCACACGCCUCUUCUGUUCAGGCCAAUGAGAUCCAGCUGCCUCACAACCACUUAACCAACCAUAUUUCCUUCCAGAUCAGUAAAAUUCAACAAAAAUACAUAGCUAACUGAGGUUCUGCCCCUCUAACAAAAGGCCCCCACCCCCCACACAAAAAUUUUGGCUACACCCAUGCUACUAGAUGUGGGAUUUCAUAAAAAGCAGUGGGGAGGGGUGGGGUCUGGCUGGCAGGCUGGCAUUCUUGGGAUCAAAUAUUAGAAAUUUUAUUUUACAUGACAUGAGCAGGGAGAGACAUAAUGUAUAGGGAUGGCCUAGUCCUCAGGUGGAGCAGGAGGGUCCUGAGUCUGAUUGGACUUGCCAGAUAAUUCUAGCUGCUGAGCCUUGCAGCACUCAGGCACUUUCAUGCCAGGGCACAGGGUCUGUAGGCAGGAGGGAAAUCUGAGCGGUGCCAGGCAAUAUCUCCUCAGCACUUCUUCAGCAGCAGCAGCAACGGCAUCUGAUGCCCAGUGAAUAGUUGAGUGCUCUCUGCAGCCACUCCUGGGGACAGAACUUUGAAGCCUUCCUCUGCCCAGCCCCUGAGGAGAAGUUAAUUUUUAGGCAGCAGCCCCUCUAGUGAUGUUUCAUGAACAGAUCUAGCCAAACCUGAGCCAUGUUCACACCAUCUGAAGUCCUACGACACCACUUUAAACCGCCAUGUCUUCCCCCAAAGAAUUCUGGGAGCUCUAGUUUGUGAUGGAUGUUGAGCGGCAUUUGGGAGUGGAUUAACCAUCCCCCCUUUAGGGGAAAAGGUCCUCCCAACAACUUUCACAACCCUGAACAAACCGCAGUUCCUAGGAUUCUCAUUCAGUUAAAAGAGAGUUUAGAAAGGGGGAAUAAGUUCUAAGUGUAAUCAAAAUUUAUUAAUUACUGAAUUUCUUACCACCCUUCACUGUAAGUUCCCAAGGUGGGUUGCAACAAUUUAAAAAAUCAAUAUUUAAAACAGGUUAUAAAUAAAUUACAAUAAUGAGAGUAGGGACAUUAUCAAGUGUCAAAGGCCAGGGUAAAAAUGUGUGUCCUCAUAGUACUUCAUACGCAUUUAAAAUCUGGCAAAUUUCAGAAUCAAAUUUUCACCUUUAGAAUGAAGAGUUUACUUUUAAAGAUAAAUCUGAAUAAAACUUACAAGGAUGAAGCUUAAGGUUGCAAUCCCAUGACCACUUUUAUGGAAGUAAACACCCCUGAAAUCAAUGGAACUUACUUUUGAGUAGACAUGUCUAGGCUUCUACUAAAACUCUGAUUUUUAAAGCAAUCAGCUAAAACAACAUUUCUAUAGCUUGCUUUCCCCAAGAGCUAACAUAGUCCAUAGGUGGCUUUGUUUGGAAGGGGCGAGGAAUUAGAAUGCAAAUUGCAGCUGCUCUGAGAAAACACAAAGUAACAGAGCACACUUGAGAAUGUGCUUUUCCUCCUUCCAAACUAAUUUCAACUUUAGUACAAGGAUGUGGUCUUGUCAGUGGGAAACAAUGGCCCACAGGGUUUGUUGUAGCAGGAGAAGCCACUCUGUGAAGCUGCUCAGCACAGAACCUUUAAGGCAAGGGUGGUAAGCUUCAGGGCCUUCAGGGCUCUCCACUUGGCCCUCAGAACUCUGCCCCAGGCCACACCCAUCUCCAGAGGCCACACCCCUGACUGCUCAUCCAGGACUGGAAGGUAUCCUUUAACUCUUGAUGAUUUGGAUGAAAGACACAGAGAGAUGUGUGUAAAAAUUACCUGGCCGUACAAAGGACAGGUUUAGAUGUGUUGCUCAGUCCACUGUUGCCUCUGGGUCUGCCCACCAUUGGCAGCUGGCCCAGAAGAGAAGGUGCCUUUCAGGGUGAAAAUGCCCAUUUCCCCUGCUUGGAAAGGACAGCGACCCUUUCCAAAACAGGAUAAUAAUUCAGUCUUUACUUUUGCCCAACUACAAAAACAUACAAAGCAUAAAGUGAUCUUCUGACAAGCAGCUACUUCUAAUUAUAUUGCCUGUUUACUGCAGAUAAAACCAAAGUGAUACAGUUUGACCUGUAGGUGUCACCCGCAGUCAAGCUAGAUAUGUAAUUCACAGGUUGUGGGCCAAUAUUUAUUCCAAUGCCAACAACUACGGCUGUUGCACCUAACACAGCAGACGAAACCUUCCCAUAGCUCCCACUUCAGCAGCCUCUGCUUCUGCUGGGUCACCAGGCCCAUUUCUGGUCAAGGCGGAUGCUUCCUUUAAGUAUUGUAAAACAGACGGCACAGGCACAGUCAUACAUUUGUCACUGUGAUGUAUUUUAUAUCUGUCACAUCUGUUUAAAGGCCCUCCUGAAUUUCAGCGCAGAAGGCUUCAGCUGCAAAAGGCUUCCCUACUUCCCAUCUAUCUGAAUCUACAGGAGCCCCACUUAAGUGAAGGGCUGGAAGGCCCCUCUCCGCACCCUGACAAGUGAUCAAACAGAACUGAGGCAAGUCCUCCCCAAAGUACCAUCCGAACUACAAUGGGAAAAUAGGGUUCAGUUUGGCACUAAGAGUUAACCUUCUGACAACCAAUUAUUUAAUGGACAACUGCUGCCCAGCUGAACGGCAUAAACAGGGAUGGCAGUUUCCCAAGCAAUUGAAGUCUGUAUGAGCAUGUAAGAUUUUGAGUUACAACUGUUAUGCAGAACUCUUCAGCGGAAGUGUGCAAGAUUUUGUGGUUCAACUGAAAUGAGUGGCGAGAAUAUGUCCAACAUAAGAUUACUUAUUGAUACUUAUUGAUAUUAAAUUCCUACCUGAGCAAACUCUAUUUUAAAAGCGGCUAAUCUUCCUACUCCAGAAAAGCAAUUUUUCCUCAACUCUUACCUUAUGAAAAAUGUGUUCUCAAAAUAAGAACAACAAAAGACAACGCUUGUGACAAGACAAAUGGAUCAAAAUAACAUGCUGGGCAAAUGAUGGUGGGAGUCAUAGGUGAAGGGGACAAAACCAUAAAAGGAAGUUACAAAUCAAUAGGAACAUCGGAUCUAGGCCUCACUGGUUCAUAAAUUAGCAGAAAUAAUGAGUUAAGAGUUUGUGGCAGUGGAAGACCAUAUAGGCCGCUAUUGCUGAGGGAACACGUUCCUCCUUCCUCUGAGACUCCGGACGAAAAGAACAAAGGAUUGGAAAAAGUUUGGUCUGACAUCCAAGUUCCUCUGCAUAGACACGACUCGGACUCUGCUGGUGCCUGGAUUUCGACCUUGCCUUUCCAAGGCAGGUAAGGGCACCUUUUCUCCCCACUCCCCAGGUUUGACACAUCCCUUCUCAGCAGGCAAGUCAGCCCGGGCUCGGCUGCCCGGGAAGGGAAGCAGGAGGAGUUCUCUCACGGAGGCAUUUCCGAAUCUUGCCCCGUUUGCCCAAACAAGUUCCCAGUUGGCCUGAAAUGGGCAAGAGCUGAGGGGCGCAGCAGGCGUCGGGCCUCGGCGGGUCUGGGGGCGGGCAGACCCGGGUCCGCUUCUGCAAGGUCAGGCUGGGAGCCGGGAGAAGGGAGCCCGGAGCCGGAGGCCGGCCAAGGGGGCAUUUCCGCGGGAGCGGGACCCCUUUCUGCGGCAGCCAAGCGCCGCCACUCAGCCGCCUUCUCUUGCUUUCCGUAUCUGACCGCGUGUAGUCCAGUUCCGAAGUGUUCCGACGUGACAGGAGGCCGGGCUCGUCUCGCCCCCUCCUCUUUCCCGACCGAGGAGGGCAGGAGGCCCCAGGAGGCUCCAGGCGGGCCGAGGCCGCCCUCUUGCUCGGAGGGGCCCCUUCCGGCGUCCCUUGGCCCGGGCCCUCGG